UUAAAGUAGUAAGGGCGCAGGGUGGAUGCCUUGGCACUAAGAGCCGAUGAAAGACGUGAUAAGCUGCGAAAAGCUUCGGGGAGGAGCACAUAUCCAAUGAUCCGGAGAUAUCUGAAUGGGGAAACCCGGCAGAGGAAACCUCUGUCAGCGUGCAGUGAAUACAUAGCUGUACGUGGGGAACCCGGGGAACUGAAACAUCUAAGUACCCGGAGGAAGAGAAAGAAAAUUUAUCGAUUUCCAAAGUAGCGGCGAGCGAAAUGGAAAGAGCCCAAACCGUGAUGCGUGCAUCGCGGGGUUCGGACUGCGUUGUGGCAGACGUAAGAUAGGAGAACGGACUGGGAAGUCCGGCCGGAGAGAGUGAAAGCCUCGUAUCCGAAAUCCCAAGUCGCCUAGCAGGAUCCAGAGUAGGACGAGACACGAGAAACCUUGUCUGAACGAGCGGGGACCACCCCGUAAGGCUAAAUACUUCUUAGUGACCGAUAGCGCAUAGUACUGUGAAGGAAAGGUGAAAAGUACCCCGGGAGGGGAGUGAAAGAGAACCUGAAACCCUGUGUCUACAAGCUGUGGGACCUCUUUAUAUGAGGGACUGCGUACUUUUUGUAGAACGGUCCGGCGAGUUGUGCGUACUGGCGAGGUUAAGGACUUAAGGUCUGGAGCCGAAGUGAAAGCAAGCGUUAAUAGCGCGUCAAGUCAGUGAGUGCAGACCCGAAACCGGGUGACCUAUCCAUGUCCAGGUUGAAGCUUCCGUAAGAGGAAGUGGAGGACCGAACCCACAUCCGUUGAAAAGGGUGGGGAUGAGGUGUGGAUAGCGGAGAAAUUCCAAUCGAACCCGGAGAUAGCUGGUUCUCCUCGAAAUAGCUUUAGGGCUAGCCUCAUGAGAGUCUUAUGGAGGUAGAGCACUGAAUUGCCUAGGGGGCGUCAAAGCUUACCAAAGCAUAUCAAACUCCGAAUGCCAUCAAGAUGAUUCAUGGGAGUCAGACCAUACGAGAUAAGUUGGAUGGUCAAAAGGGAAAGAGCCCAGACCUACAGCUAAGGUCCCAAAGUACGUGUUAAGUGGAAAAGGAUGUGGGGAUUCGAAGACAACUAGGACGUUGGCUUAGAAGCAGCCAUUCAUUGAAAGAGUGCGUAAUAGCUCACUAGUCGAGAGUCCCUGCGCCGAAAAUGUCCGGGGCUGAAACACGACACCGAAGCUUAGGAAUGUGUAAACAUUGGUAGAGGAGCAUUGCUGGCGGGAUGAAGCCAUACCGUAAGGAGUGGUGGACUGCCAGGAAGAGAGAAUGCCGGAAUGAGUAGCGAGAUGAAGGUGAGAAUCCUUCAGGCCGAAUAUCUAAGGUUUCCAGAGUAAAGCUGAUCUGCUCUGGGUAAGUCGGGACCUAAGGCGAGGUCGAAAGACGUAGUCGAUGGAUAACAGGUUGAAAUUCCUGUACCGCAUAUAAACAGAACUGUGGGGACACAGACAGGGAAUGGAAUCCGGGAAUGGAUAUCCCGGUGCAAGCGAGGUAGGAGUGCUGUUGGCAAAUCCGCAGCACGAUCUGAAGACGUGACGCGUACCGAACAUAAGUAGGGAAGUCCAGGCCCCUGGCUGUCAAGAAAAGCCGCUAUUGUUUUAUAUGUGCCCGUACCGCAAACCGACACAGGUGGAUGAGGAGAGAAUCCUAAGGCCGACGGGAGAAGUAUUGUUAAGGAACUCGGCAAAAUGACUCCGUAACUUCGGGAGAAGGAGUGCCAUGAGAGUGGCCGCAGAGAAAUGGCCCAAGCAACUGUUUAGCAAAAACACAGGUCUAUGCAAAACCGCAAGGUGAAGUAUAUGGGCUGACGCCUGCCCGGUGCUGGAAGGUUAAGGGGAGAGGUUAGCGCAAGCGAAGCUUUGAACUUAAGCCCCAGUAAACGGCGGCCGUAACUAUAACGGUCCUAAGGUAGCGAAAUUCCUUGUCGGGUAAGUUCCGACCC
rnacentral:rRNA from 1 species